UACGUAGGGUGCGAGCGUUAAUCGGAAUUACUGGGCGUAAAGCGUGCGCAGGCGGUUCGUUGUGUCGGCGGUGAAAGCCCCGGGCUCAACCUGGGAAUGGCCGUUGAAACUGGCGAACUGGAGUGUGGCAGAGGGGGGUGGAAUUCCGCGUGUAGCAGUGAAAUGCGUAGAGAUCCGGAGGAACACCAGUGGCGAAGGCGGCCGCCUGGACCUGACCUGACGCUGAGGCGCGAAGGCGCGGGGAGCGAACGGG
rnacentral:rRNA from 1 species